rnacentral:rRNA from 1 species
GGGUUCGAUUCUGGCUCAGAUUGAACGCUGGCGGAGUGCUACAUACAAGUCAGAACGGGCAGUACUGACUUCGGUCUGGUGGCGAGUGGCGAACGGGUGAGUAAUGUAUCGGAACGUGCCUAGUAGCGGGGGAUAACUACGCGAAAGCGGAGCUAAUACGCAUACGCCCUUCGGGGAAAGCGGGGGACCUUCGGCCCUGCACUAUUAGAGCGGCCGAUACUGGAUUAGCUAGUUGGUGGGGUAACGGCUCACCAAGGCGAUUAUCCGUAGCCGGUUUGAGAGGACGACCAGCCACACUGGGACCGAGACACGGCCCAGACUCUACGGAGGCAGUGGGGAAUUUUGGACAAUGGGGGAACCCUGAUCCAGCCAUCCUCAUGUGGGUGAUGAAGGCCUUCGGGUUGUAAAGCACUUGUGCAGGAAAGAAACGGUGGCCGAUAAUACCCUGUGCAACUGACGGUACCUGCAGAAUAAGCACCGGCUAACUACGUGCCAGCAGCCGCGGUAAUACGUAGGGGUGCAAGCGUUAAUCGGAAUUACCGCUAAGCGUGCGCAGGCGGCUCGAAAGAAAGAUGUAAAACUCCGGAGAGCCAACUUUGGAACUGCAUUUUUAACUACCGAGCUAGAGUGUGUCAGAGGAGGUGGAAUUCCGCGUAGCAGUGAAAAUGUAGAUAUGCGGAGGAACACCGAUGGCGAAGGCAUUUCCUGGGAUAACACUAUCGCUCAUGCACGAAAGCGUGGGAGCAAACAGGAUUAGAUACUCCUGGUAGUCCACGCCCCAAACGAUGUCAACUAGCUGUUGGGCCUGGGCCUUGGUAGCGCAGCUAACGCAAGUUAACGCCUUGGGGAGUACGGUCGUAAGACAAAACUCAAAGGAAUUGACGGGGACCCGCAAGCGGUGGAUGAUGUGGAUUAAUUCGAUGCAACGCGAAAACCUUACCUACCCUUGGAUAUGUCUGGAAUCCGAAGAGAUUUGGGAGUGCUCGCAAGAGAACCGGAACACAGGUGCUGCAUGGCUGUCGUCAGCUCGUGUCGGAGAUGUUGGGUUAAGUCCGGCAACGAGCGCAAACCCUUGUCAUUAGUUGCCGCGAAAGGGCACUCUAUCGAGACUGUUUGCGACAAACCGGAGGAAGGUGAUGACGUCGGCGUCCAUGGCCCUUGCGGUAGGGCUUCACACGUCAUACAAUGGUCGGGACAGAGGGUCGCUAACCCGCGAGGUGAGCUUUUUCAAUCCCAGAACCCGAUCGUAGUCCGGAUCGCAGUCUGCAACUCGACUGCGUGAAGUCGUAAUCGCUAGUAAUCGCGGAUCAGCAUGUCGCGGUGAAUACACCGUGGGUCUUGUACACACCGCCCGUCACACCAUGGGAGUGGGUUUUACCAGAAGUAGUUAGCCUAACCGUAAGGAGGGCGAUUACUACGGUAGGAUUCAUGACUGGGGGUGAAGUCGUAACAAGGUAA